rnacentral:rRNA from 1 species
UACAGGGGGUGCAAACGUUGCUCGGAAUUAUUGGGCGUAAAGCGCACGUAGGCGGAUUGCUAAGUCAGGGGUGAAAUCCUGGAGCUCAACUCCAGAACUGCCUUUGAUACUGGCGAUCUUGAGUCCGGGAGAGGUGAGUGGAACUGCGAGUGUAGAGGUGAAAUUCGUAGAUAUUCGCAAGAACACCAGUGGCGAAGGCGGCUCACUGGCCCGAUACUGACGCUGAGGCACGAAAGCGUGGGGAGCAAACAGG